GACGAACGCUGGCGGCGUGCUUAACACAUGCAAGUCGAACGGAAAGGCCCUGCUUUUGUGGGGUGCUCGAGUGGCGAACGGGUGAGUAACACGUGAGUAACCUGCCCUUGACUUUGGGAUAACUUCAGGAAACUGGGGCUAAUAAAGGAGAGGAGCUCCUGCUGCAUGGUGGGGGUGGGAAAGGUUCGGCGGUUGGGGAUGGACUCGCGGCUUAUCAGCUUGUUGGUGGGGUAGUGGCUUACCAAGGCUUUGACGGGGAGCCGGCCUGAGAGGGUGACCGGCCACAUUGGGACUGAGAUACGGCCCAGCCUCCUACGGGAGGCAGCAGUGGGGAAUAUUGCACAAUGGGCGGAAGCCUUAUGCAGCAACGCCGCGUGCGGGAUGACGGCCUUCGGGUUGUAAACCGCUUUCGCCUGUGACGAAGCGUGAGUGACGGUAAUGGGUAAAGAAGCACCGGCUAACUACGUG
rnacentral:rRNA from 1 species